rnacentral:misc_RNA from 1 species
CCUCCGUUGGUGAACCAGCGGAGGGAUCAUUACCGAGUUUACAACUCCCAAACCCAAUGUGAACGUUACCAAACUGUUGCCUCGGCGGGGUCACGCCCCGGGUGCGUCGCAGCCCCGGAACCAGGCGCCCGCCGGAGGAACCAACCAAACUCUUUCUGUAGUCCCCUCGCGGACGUUAUUUCUUACAGCUCUGAGCAAAAAUUCAAAAUGAAUCAAAACUUUCAACAACGGAUCUCUUGGUUCUG